AGAACUGAUGUGGGAAACAGUGGCAGAGAGUUAGAGAAAGCAGCAAAGACUACAAGACUUCAGAGUCACAGCUGGCUACAAACCCACCCCCUGCACCCAGUACCACUAGCUGGAGACACUGGAAGAUGCUCUUGUUAUUCUCGGAUCACCGCCUACCCCCAAACCCAUCCUCCCUGCUGCCUUACCUGAGAAGUUGAACCCCAGAGACAGAAAGGGUCACCUGCACUCCUUGUACUGGGCCUUCCCAUCGGCCAAUGUGUGGCAUGAACGAGGCUGCAUCCCUCUUCCAUAGCACCUGCACUCGUAGGCUCUGCAAAUUUCAUCCCCGCCUUUGGCCCUUCAGGCCUAGGGCAAGUCACAGCUCCCCAGGACUGUUCAUCCCCAGGUGUCUCACCAUCCCUAGAUAGCACCUGUAAGCCUGACUACACCUCUGUAAAGCGCGCCCUUCAUUAAACUUUCUUCUGUUAAA
rnacentral:lncRNA from 1 species